rnacentral:rRNA from 1 species
ACGCUAGCGAUAGGCUUAACACAUGCAAGUCGAGGGGCUGCAUGGUCUUAGCUUGCUAAGACUGAUGGCGACCGGCGCACGGGUGCGUAACGCGUAUGCAACUUGCCUCACAGAGGGGGAUAACCCGUCGAAAGACGGACUAAUACCGCGUACACUCUAUAUUGGGCAUCCAAUGUAGAGGAAAUGAAAUUCGCUGUGAGAUAGGCAUGCGUCCCAUUAGCUAGUUGGUGAGGUAACGGCUCACCAAGGCGACGAUGGGUAGGGGAACUGAGAGGUUGAACCCCCACACUGGUACUGAGACACGGACCAGACUCCUACGGGAGGCAGCAGUGAGGAAUAUUGGUCAAUGGGCGAGAGCCUGAACCAGCCAAGUCGCGUGAAGGAUGACUGUCUUAUGGAUUGUAAACUUCUUUUAUACGGGAAUAACAAGAGCCACGUGUGGCUCCCUGCAUGUACCGUAUGAAUAAGCAUCGGCUAACUCCGUGCCAGCAGCCGCGGUAAUACGGAGGAUGCGAGCGUUAUCCGGAUUUAUUGGGUUUAAAGGGUGCGUAGGCGGCCUGUUAAGUCAGCGGUGAAAUCUAGGAGCUUAACUCUUAAAUUGCCAUUGAUACUGGCGGGCUUGAGUGUAGAUGAGGUAGGCGGAAUGCGUGGUGUAGCGGUGGAAUGCAUAGAUAUCACGCAGAACUCCGAUUGCGAAGGCAGCUUACUAAGGUACAACUGACGCUGAAGCACGAAAGCGUGGGUAUCAAACAGGAUUAGAUACCCUGGUAGUCCACGCAGUAAACGAUGAUAACUGGGCGUAUGCGAUAUACAGUAUGCUCCUAAGCGAAAGCGUUAAGUUAUCCACCUGGGGAGUACGCCGGCAACGGUGAAACUCAAAGGAAUUGACGGGGGCCCGCACAAGCGGAGGAACAUGUGGUUUAAUUCGA